GCACUGGCUAACCUCGGACUUUCGAUGUGCUUUUUGCCUUGAUGCUUUGCUUUUCUAUGUGCGUCUGCUUCUGUUAACCUUCCAUCAACCUGGAGGUUUCACCAUCCCAGGGAGGUGUCAGUCUUUCUCAGUCCACCCCGUCAUUAUCCCCAGGAUGGUCUGAAAGGAAGGGUCCCUUUGGGAACUUCUCAGGAGGGAGACCUGGGCCAAGGGCUCGGCCAGCAUCUCCCUGGCAAUUCCAAGGCCCAGGGUGGGCUUCUGGAAGGAGCAUGAUUCCCGAGGCCAUGCUACUGAACUGCCAGGGGUAUCCCCACCUCUUCCAGAUCUCCUCGUCCUUUCUGGGGAACUGGGAUCGAGAAAAGCAACCUCCCAGGGUGUUGUGAGUGUUGGUCCGAUUCUGGGAAGCUGGUAAGGCCAGGCAUAGAAGAGGCGGUCAGUAAAUGUUUUUCCCAAACAGGUUGGUCGACCACGUCCCCCUCGCCCCCCUCACCUGUCUCACGCUUCUCGUUUAUUCUCCCACAGCGCUCCGGACAACCCCAGUCCGCAGGGCUCUCGGUGUACCAGGAGCCCCGGCGGCCCCGGAUCGUGAACGCCUGGACAGAGGAGGUGGAGGAGCUGCCCUGGAGCAGCACGUCUUCCGCAGGGUCACCUGGCGUCUUGCGCCUGCCCCGAGCUGCGACGCUGCUGCCUGGCUUGGGCCGAAGCCAUCAUCUGGAAUCCUCCAUGGUCCAGGACCUCGAACCCGCCACCCCAGCACCCUCUGGCCCCACAAUCGGCAAACUAGGAUGGAAGUGGCCUAGCUGGGGGGCCCUUCGAUGGGCCAAGGAGAAAACGCAGGCAGUGGCACCAGCCUCUGAAGCCGUCUCCGAGCUCCAAUAAUCUUCGCUUGCCUCCCCCCUUGAAAUGUCCCAAUGGACAGACUUUCUGUCUUCAAAGCUUCGGCCAACCUCUUCAAGCUUUUUAUUGUUGGGACUGGGACGCUUAGCAUAUGAUGGUAGUCUUUUUAUUUGAAGGCCAAUAUAUUUGUGUGUGUGACUAUAUACAGAAAAAAAA
rnacentral:sRNA from 1 species